GGGGUAUUGUUCCUAAGGCUGGCAGGGGUUAGGUCCCAUACAGCCUGGAAGAUCAUUGUAAAGAGUUUGGAUUUUUUUCUAAUUUUUUUAAGCAGAAGAGGGAUAUGAUCCAAUUUACAUCUCUAAGGAUGACUUUGGUUGCUGGGGAAGAAUGGAUUAUAGAGCAGCAAGAGUUCUCUGUGUUCUAUGAAUAGAACUAAGAUCAUGGGAGAGAACCACAGGAGACAGAUUUUAGCCCAAGACAAGUGCUUUCUAAAUGAACGAGCUCAUUUAAAGGUGGUGAGUGUCCUCCACUAGAGGUAUCCAAGAGAAGGUUAGAUGUUUCUUUCUGGGAGGAGGCUGUGAUGGUUAAUUUUAUGCGUCAACUUUGCUGGGCCACAGGGUGCCCAGAUAGUUGACUAAAUAUUACUCUGGGGGUAUCUGUUAAAGUGUCUCUGAUUGAGAUUCAUAUUUCAAUCAGCAGAUGGAGAAAAGAAGAUUACCCUUCCCAAUGUGGGUGGAAGUAACCUAGUCAACUGAAGGCCAGACCAGAACUUACAUCAUUGGCUCUCCUGAGUCUCCAGCUUGCCGGCUGCUAAUCUUGGGAUUUCUCCAUGUCAUAUAUGAUGCUCAGAGCUGCAGCCACCAUAUCGUUACGAGCCUGAGAAAGAAGCCAGCUAAUGAUGACAGAGCAAAGAGAUAGAGAGAAACUACUCCCGAAUGCCACUGUUGAAAGGCUAAUUCAACCAGCCUCGGAUCUGCCUGCCCCCUGGAAUUCCUGCUAUAUGAGAUAAUAAUUCUCUAUUGUUUAAGCCAGCUUGAGUCAGGGUUUUGUUUCUGCCACCAAAAGCAUCCUGACUAAUGCAGGAUUCAAAGUGCACUCUCCUCCCCCUCCUCCCCCAUCCAGCAGCUGAACUGAACCUGAACAUCACUGAGAAUAACCAACAUCCCAUUGCAGAGGCUGUGCAGAAGAGGAAGAGGGGAGUGAGGGUGGGAUGGAAUACAGGAGGUUUAAAGACUGAGGAGUUCAUAGGAAUGGAGACAGAGCAAAGGUAUAAGAGACAGGGAUACUCUGUGCCACCUGCGGAGGGUAGAAACACAGAAUGUGCUCAGGAAUCAAGGACUAAGACUCCAUAACUGUGGGCAAGGUGAAUACAUUAGACCUGCCACUGCUGAAUCCUCACCAUCCUCGACUCUGAAUGUGCUGGACCAUUGUGUUUGAAAUUUAACUAAAGAACUGAUUGAAUAGACUCCAUGGUUCCAUAUGGUGCUUCCCAGGCCAAUAGUCCAACCACCCUUUUUCAGGUUGUGUCACCCCUACUUCCUGAAAUAUGGUGAACUGCUGGGAUUACAGAUUGUUGAUCCCAGUAGACUCUUAAAAGGCCAACUAAUCUAACCCUUUCCCUUUGUGAAUGGGGCUCUAAGACUUAGAAAGGGGAGGUGAAUUCCCUGAGACAGUGCAGAGUACAUUUGUGGCAAAGCGGAAAAAGAAAUGUAAGUCUCCUGUCUCCCAAGUCGGUUCCUACUAUACCACCAUUUCCCCCUAAGUGUACAUCAAAAAAUUGUCAAAGAUUUUGACAGCCAGAACAGUUUUCA
rnacentral:lncRNA from 10 species